rnacentral:rRNA from 1 species
GGUUAUACCAAGUGAUUAAGUUAUACUUCUAGGUAAAAAGACAGUUAGGCUUAAACUAAUUAGUUUAUUGACCAUGUAUAUAAAAGUAAAAUUUGUAUAUGCAUAGCUAAUUUAAUAAUAGCUAUAUAUGUUGAAGCUGUGAUAGUUUUGAGGGAAACUGGGAUUAGAUACCCCAUUAUUCUUGACUGUAAAUAUAAUUAAAUUUACCAGAGUACUAUGAAUAGUUAAAAAUUUAAAACUCAAAGGGCUUGGCGGUGUUUUAGACCUAUCAGGGGAACCUGUCUCGUAAUCGACAAUCCACGUUGUACCUAACCCUGUUUUGUAUUCAGUUUGUAUACCGUCGUCGUCAGGUAACUUUUAAAAAUAUAGAAGUUAGCAAUAUAAAUUUUAAGUUAAAACGUCAGAUCAAGGUGCAGCUUAUAUUAGGGAGAGGAUGGGUUACAAUUAUUAUAUUUAUAAUCACGGAGACUUAUGUGAAAAUAUAUUUAGAAGGAGGACUUGAAAGUAAACUAAAAUAUAUAAAUAGAUUGAAUGAGGCUCUG